CUUUGUUCCGUGAAAGGGCCAUAUGUGCAAAGUGGCCCCCAAAUGCUGAAGGAGCUGAGAAGGCAAAGAAGGAGGCAGACAAAUCCAGUUUGUCAGUUUUGAGUGAUUUAUUAGGGGAAUGUACAGACAGAAAUAUGGUUCUGGGCAGCUGCAUGACAGGUAGAUCUCUGCAUCGAAACCUUCCAGACCCAGGGCUUAUAUCUUAGGGAAAGUAUAUGUGAUCUGGAAGGAGUAUGUAGGUGGCUGUGGGCAUCACAGCCUAUGAUUUCUGCAAUUGCAUCAAGUGUGGUUUAGGAGGAAACUUACAGUGAAUAGAAGUUCUUACAUAAAGACUAAUACAUCAUUUAGACAUUCUGGAGGCAUUCCCAGACUCGGGGUUAGUCAGAAGUUACGUGGCAGAUUAGCAUUUAAAAUAAAGUCACUCUUGUCCCCACACUUGUUAUUAGGCUAGGAGUAGCCAAGCAGGUCUUGGGGCAGCCAGAGCCCCUGGGCAGUGUGCCCAGAGUAGCCGAGUUUUAUGUUUAUUUUAAUGAACAUAUUAGUAAAUGUUAAUCUUCCC
rnacentral:lncRNA from 10 species